GUAAUUUGACAGUAGAGGAGAUAAGAUAUGCAGAGAGUGCAUUGAUUAAGGAUGCUCAAGUCAGUUUGAGGAAUAAGAAAGAUUUCCCGCAUUUAGUAAAACAGUUAGGUUUGGUUGAUAGAGAUGGGAUUUUAAAAUGUAAGGGUAGGCUCUCUAAUUCAGAUUUAGAAGAAGCAGCUAGGGAACCAAUUAUUCUCCCGAAGGAGCAUUGGCUAACAGAGUUGAUUAUAUCCGCAUGCCAUAAACGAGUUCAUCAUUGCGGGCUCAGAGCUACUCUGGCAGAAUUGAGAGGUAAGUAUUGGGUGCCACGAGGACGUCAAAUAGUGAAGAAGGUGAUUGGUAAGUGUGUUGUCUGUAAGAGACAUGGGGGUAAGCCUUAUGGAAAACCUGAUGAGGCAGGUUUACCGGACUUCAGGGUGCGGGAGUCACCACCAUUUGCUAAAGUUGGGGUUGACUUUGCUGGUCCGUUGUAUGCAAAGGAGGGUGGUAAAAUGGUGAAGGUGUACAUAGCGUUGUUCACGUGUUGUGUCACGAGGGCAGUUCACUUGGAUUUGGUAAGAAAUCUUAGUGCGCCUAGUUUCUUGAACUGUUUGAGGAGAUUUGCAAGCAGGCGAGGGGCACCGACGCUUAUUGUUUCAGACAAUGCUAAAACUUUUAAGGCGGCACAGAAAGCAGUGAAGAAGUUGUACGAGAGCGGGAAUGUGAGAGCUUAUAUGCAAGAUAAUUGUGUGAAAUGGCAGUUUAAUUUAGAGAGAGCGCCUUGGUGGGGAGGAUUCUUUGAAAGGUUGGUUGGUUUGGUAAAGAGGUGUUUACGUAAGGUGCUGGGGAAUGCCAAGUUGACAUUCGAAGAACUGUUGACAACUUUAGUUGAGGUUGAAGGCACGUUGAAUUCGAGACCGUUAACCUACAUUUACGAUGAGGUUGAAAACGAUGUGCUAACACCGAAUCAUUUGAUCUUUGGUCGUAGAUUGAGUUUAAUUCCAGACGAGACUAGUUACAAAAUUGAAGAGAAUGAUGCGACAAAGGUUAAGCGUAGGUUUAGGCAUCUAGCGAAACUGCGAGUUCACUUUUGGGAGAGAUGGAGAAAAGAAUACUUGACGAAUUUAAGAGAGCAUCAUAGAAGUAAGAGGGAGAAGAGGGAUAGUAAAGUGAAGAAGGGAGAUGUAGUUUUAGUAUUUGACGAGAACCUUAAGAGAGGAUUUUGUAAGUUAGGUAGGAUUGAGAGUUUAAUUGUCGGUAGAGAUGAAGUGGUUCGAGGAGCGAAAGUGAGAGUGAUGACUAAAGGAAAUCCAGUAUAUCUUAAUAGACCAGUUCAGAAAUUGUAUCCUGUAGAGUUAAAUGAGAACGGAAGCAGUACGGAAGUAAGAAAGGAUAAUAAAGUUGAAAAUGAAGUGGAUGGGUAUGAUAACCAGAAAGGAAAGACGAAAAUUAAUGAGAAAGGAAAGACGGAAAUGAAUGAGAAAGACGGAGAGAAGGGUAAGGUGGAAAGCUGUGUCCAUAGUAAUAGACCUAGAAGAGCAGCAGCUUUGGAUGCACGUUGGAGAACACAAGUCAUGUUUGACCCUUACAGGUUCAAAGGGGGGAGUGUGUAGAAUAAUUUGUAACAUUAUACUAUUGAUAACGCCGUAGGAGACCAAACAAUGGGUGAUUUAGUUGAUUGACG
rnacentral:lncRNA from 1 species